UAGGGAAUAUUGGACAAUGGGGGCAACCCUGAUCCAGCCAUGCCGCGUGAGUGAAGAAGGCCCUCGGGUUGUAAAGCUCUUUUGUCCGGAAAGAAAAGCUUCGGGUUAAUACCCCGGGGUUCUGACGGUACCGGAAGAAUAAGCACCGGCUAACUUCGUGCCAGCAGCCGCGGUAAUACGAAGGGUGCAAGCGUUACUCGGAAUUACUGGGCGUAACGCGUGCGUAGGUGGUUGUUUAAGUCUGAUGUGAAAGCCCUGGGCUCAACCGUGGAAUUGCAUUGGAAACUGGGCGGCUAGAGUGCGGUAGAGGGUAGUGGAAUUCCCGGUGUAGCAGUGAAAUGCGUAGAGAUCGGGAGGAACAUCUGUGGCGAAGGCGACUGCCUGGACCAGCACUGACACUGAGGCACGAAAGCGUGGGGAGCAAACA
rnacentral:rRNA from 1 species